rnacentral:rRNA from 1 species
CUGAGUAACGCGUGGGUAACCUGCCCUUGAAUUCGGGAUAACUUCGCGAAAGUGAUGCUAAUACCGGAUAUUGUCCUUAGGUCUUUGGUCUUUUGGAUGAAAGGUGACCUCUUCAUGAAAGCUGCCGUUUAAGGAGGGGCUCGCGUACCAUUAGCUUGUUGGUGGGGUAAUGGCCUACCAAGGCGACGAUGGUUAGCUGGUCUGAGAGGAUGAUCAGCCACACUGGAACUGAAACACGGUCCAGACUCCUACGGGAGGCAGCAGUGAGGAAUUUUGCGCAAUGGGGGAAACCCUGACGCAGCAACGCCGCGUGAGUGAAGAAGGCUUUCGGGUCGUAAAGCUCUGUCAGGUGGGAAAAAAGCUUUUCGGUGAAUAGCCGGAAAGUCUGAUGGUACCACCAGAGGGAGCACCGGCUAACUCCGUGCCAGCAGCCGCGGUAAUACGGAGGGUGCUAGCGUUGUUCGGAAUUAUUGGGCGUAAAGAGCGUGUAGGCGGUUUGGUAAGUCAGAUGUGAAAGCCCUGGGCUCAACCUAGGAAGUGCAUUUGAAACUGCCUUACUUGAGUAUGGGAGAGGAGAGUGGAAUUCCCAGUGUAGAGGUGAAAUUCGUAGAUAUUGGGAGGAACACCCGUGGCGAAGGCGACUCUCUGGACCAAUACUGACGCUGAGACGCGAAAGCGUGGGGAGCAAACAGGAUUAGAUACCCUGGUAGUCCACGCCGUAAACGAUGAGAACUAGGUGUAGCGGGUAUUGACCCCUGCUGUGCCGAAGCUAACGCAUUAAGUUCUCCGCCUGGGGAGUACGGCCGCAAGGCUAAACUCAAAGGAAUUGACGGGGGCCCGCACAAGCGGUGGAGCAUGUGGUUUAAUUCGACGCAACGCGAAGAACCUUACCUGGGUUUGACAUCCUCUGACAUCCUGGGAAACCAGGCCUUUCCUGCUUGCAGGAACAGAGUGACAGGUGCUGCAUGGCUGUCGUCAGCUCGUGUCGUGAGAUGUUGGGUUAAGUCCCGCAACGAGCGCAACCCUUGUCUUUAGUUGCCAGUAUUAAGUUAGGCACUCUAAAGAUACUGCCUCGGUUAACGAGGAGGAAGGUGGGGAUGACGUCAAGUCCUCAUGGCCUUUAUAUCCAGGGCUACACACGUGCUACAAUGGGCUGUACAAAGGGUUGCUAUCCCGCGAGGGGGAGCUAAUCUCAAAAAGCAGCUCUCAGUUCGGAUUGGAGUCUGCAACUCGACUCCAUGAAGGUGGAAUCGCUAGUAAUCGCGUAUCAGCAUGACGCGGUGAAUACGUUCCCGGGCCUUGUACACACCGCCCGUCACACCACGAAAGUUGGCUGUACCAGAAGUUGCUGGGCUAACCCCUUCGGGGGAUGCAGGUACCUAAGGUACGGUUAGUAAUUGGGGUGAAGUCGUAACAAGGUA